GUGAAUACCUUGGCAUUCAGAAGCGAAGAAGGACGUGGUUACCGGCGAAACGCCUCGGGGAGUUGGAAACAAGCUUUGAUCCGGGGGUAUCCGAAUGAGGCAACUCUUUAAAACUUCUUGUUGAAUCUAUAGGCAAGAAAGAGCGAACCUGGAGAAUUGAAACAUCUUAGUAACCAGAGGAAUAGAAAGUAAAAACGAUUCUCUUAGUAGCGGCGAGCGAAAUGGGA
rnacentral:rRNA from 1 species